rnacentral:rRNA from 1 species
UACGUAGGCUGCAAGCGUUGUUCGGAGUUACUGGGCGUAAAGGGUGUGUAGGCGGUUCCUUAAGUUUGCUGUGAAAUCUCCCGGCUUAACCGGGAGGGUGCGGUGAAUACUGAGGGACUAGAGUACGGGAGAGGAAAGUGGAAUUCCUGGUGUAGCGGUGAAAUGCGUAGAUAUCAGGAGGAACACCGGUGGUGUAGACGGCUUUCUGGACCGUAACUGACGCUGAGACACGAAAGCGUGGGGAGCAAACGGG